rnacentral:rRNA from 1 species
AGGGCGCACGGUGGAUGCCUUGGCACUAGGAGCCGAUGAAGGACGGGACUAACACCGAUAUGCUUUGGGGAGCUGUAAGUAAGCUAUGAUCCAGAGAUUUCCGAAUGGGGGAACCCAAUAUCUUUUAUAGGAUAUUACUUUUCAGUGAAUACAUAGCUGAUUAGAGGUAGACGCAGAGAACUGAAACAUCUUAGUACCUGCAGGAAGAGAAAGAAAAUUCGAUUCCCUGAGUAGCGGCGAGCGAAACGGGAAGAGCCCAAACCAACAAGCUUGCUUGUUGGGGUUGUAGGACUCCAAUAUGGUAGUCUGUUAGUAUAGUUGAAGGAUUUGGAAAAUUCCGCUAAAGAGGGUGAAAGCCCCGUAGACGAAAUGCUGACAACACCUAGGAGGAUCCUGAGUACGGCGGAACACGAGAAAUUCCGUCGGAAUCCGCGGGGACCAUCCCGCAAGGCUAAAUACUCCCUAGUGACCGAUAGUGAACCAGUACCGUGAGGGAAAGGUGAAAAGCACCCCGGAAGGGGAGUGAAAUAGAUCCUGAAACCGUGUGCCUACAACAAGUCAAAGCUCGUUAAUGAGUGAUGGCGUGCCUUUUGUAGAAUGAACCGGCGAGUUACGAUUGCAUGCGAGGUUAAGUCGAAGAGACGGAGCCGCAGCGAAAGCGAGUCUGAAUAGGGCGAAUGAGUAUGUAGUCGUAGACCCGAAACCAUGUGAUCUACCCAUGUCCAGGUUGAAGGUGCGGUAAAACGCACUGGAGGACCGAACCCACGUACGUUGAAAAGUGCGGGGAUGAGGUGUGGGUAGCGGAGAAAUUCCAAACGAACUUGGAGAUAGCUGGUUCUCUCCGAAAUAGCUUUAGGGCUAGCCUCGGAAUUGAGAAUGAUGGAGGUAGAGCACUGUUUGGACUAGGGGCCCAUCUCGGGUUACCGAAUUCAGAUAAACUCCGAAUGCCAUUCAUUUAUAUCCGGGAGUCAGACUGCGAGUGAUAAGAUCCGUAGUCGAAAGGGAAACAGCCCAGACCACCAGCUAAGGUCCCAAAAUAUAUGUUAAGUGGAAAAGGAUGUGGGGUUGCACAGACAACUAGGAUGUUGGCUUAGAAGCAGCCACCAUUUAAAGAGUGCGUAAUAGCUCACUAGUCGAGUGACCCUGCGCCGAAAAUGUACCGGGGCUAAACAUAUUACCGAAGCUGUGGACUACACCAUUAGGUGUAGUGGUAGGAGAGCGUUCUAAGGGCGUUGAAGGUCGAUCGUGAGGACGGCUGGAGCGCUUAGAAGUGAGAAUGCCGGUAUGAGUAGCGAAAGACAGGUGAGAAUCCUGUCCACCGUAUGACUAAGGUUUCCUGGGGAAGGCUCGUCCGCCCAGGGUUAGUCGGGACCUAAGCCGAGGCCGAUAGGCGUAGGCGAUGGACAACAGGUUGAUAUUCCUGUACCAGUUGUUUUUGUUUGAACAAUGGAGGGACGCAGUAGGCUAAGGAAUGCAUGCGAUUGGAAGUGCAUGUCCAAGCAAUGAGUCUUGAGUAGAGUUAAAUGCUUUACUCUUUAAGGACAAGUUGUGACGGGGAGCGAAAUAAUAGUAGCGAAGUUCCUGAUGUCACACUGCCAAGAAAAGCUUCUAGUGAGAAAACAACUGCCCGUACCGUAAACCGACACAGGUAGUCGAGGAGAGUAUCCUAAGGUGAGCGAGCGAACUCUCGUUAAGGAACUCGGCAAAAUGACCCCGUAACUUCGGGAGAAGGGGUGCUGACUUCGGUCAGCCGCAGUGAAUAGGCCCAAGCGACUGUUUAUCAAAAACACAGGUCUCUGCAAAAUCGUAAGAUGAAGUAUAGGGGCUGACGCCUGCCCGGUGCUGGAAGGUUAAGAGGAUGGGUUAGCUUCGGCGAAGCUCAGAAUUGAAGCCCCAGUAAACGGCGGCCGUAACUAUAACGGUCCUAAGGUAGCGAAAUUCCUUGUCGGGUAAGUUCCGACCCGCACGAAAGGCGUAACGAUUUGGGCACUGUCUCAACGAGAGACUCGGUGAAAUUUUAGUACCUGUGAAGAUGCAGGUUACCCGCGACAGGACGGAAAGACCCCAUGGAGCUUUACUGUAGUUUGAUAUUGAGUGUUUGUACCACAUGUACAGGAUAGGUAGGAGCCGAUGAGACCGGAACGCUAGUUUCGGAGGAGGCGCUGGUGGGAUACUACCCUUGUGUUAUGAACCCUCUAACCCGCACCACUAAUCGUGGUGGGAGACAGUGUCAGAUGGGCAGUUUGACUGGGGCGGUCGCCUCCUAAAAGGUAACGGAGGCGCCCAAAGGUUCCCUCAGAAUGGUUGGAAAUCAUUCGAAGAGUGUAAAGGCAGAAGGGAGCUUGACUGCGAGACCUACAAGUCGAGCAGGGACGAAAGUCGGGCUUAGUGAUCCGGUGGUUCCGCAUGGAAGGGCCAUCGCUCAACGGAUAAAAGCUACCCUGGGGAUAACAGGCUUAUCUCCCCCAAGAGUCCACAUCGACGGGGAGGUUUGGCACCUCGAUGUCGGCUCG